rnacentral:rRNA from 1 species
GAUGAACGCUGGCGGCGUGCUUAACACAUGCAAGUCGAACGGAAAGGCUCCUGCUUGCAGGGGUACUCGAGUGGCGAACGGGUGAGUAACACGUGGGUGAUCUGCCCUGCACUUCGGGAUAAGCCUGGGAAACUGGGUCUAAUACCGGAUAGGACGAUGGUUUGGAUGCCAUUGUGGAAAGUUUUUUCGGUGUGGGAUGAGCUCGCGGCCUAUCAGCUUGUUGGUGGGGUAAUGGCCUACCAAGGCGUCGACGGGUAGCCGGCCUGAGAGGGUGUACGGCCACAUUGGGACCGAGAUACGGCCCAGACUCCUACGGGAGGCAGCAGUGGGGAAUAUUGCACAAUGGGCGCAAGCCUGAUGCAGCGACGCCGCGUGGGGGAUGACGGCCUUCGGGUUGUAAACUCCUUUCGCUAGGGACGAAGCGCAAGUGACGGUACCUGGAGAAGAAGCACCGGCUAACUACGUG